GGUGAGGUAACGGCCCACCAAGGCGACGAUCGGUAGCCGGACUGAGAGGUUGAACGGCCACAUUGGGACUGAGACACGGCCCAGACUCCUACGGGAGGCAGCAGUGGGGAAUAUUGCACAAUGGGGGAAACCCUGAUGCAGCGACGCCGCGUGGAGGAAGAAGGUCUUCGGAUUGUAAACUCCUGUUGUUGAGGAAGAUAAUGACGGUACUCAACAAGGAAGUGACGGCUAGCUACGUGCCAGCAGCCGCGGUAAAACGUAGGUCACAAGCGUUGUCCGGAAUUACUGGGUGUAAAGGGAGCGCAGGCGGGAAGACAAGUUGGAAGUGAAAUCCAUGGGCUCAACCCAUGAACUGCUUUCAAAACUGUUUUUCUUGAGUAGUGCAGAGGUAGGCGGAAUUCCCGGUGUAGCGGUGGAAUGCGUAGAUAUCGGGAGGAACACCAGUGGCGAAGGCGGCCUACUGGGCACCAACUGACGCUGAGGCUCGAAAGUGUGGGUAGCAAACAGGAUUAGAUACCCUGGUAGUCCACACUGUAAACGAUGAUUACUAGGUGUUGGAGGAUUGACCCCUUCAGUGCCGCAGUUAACACAAUAAGUAAUCCACCUGGGG
rnacentral:rRNA from 1 species